rnacentral:rRNA from 1 species
UACGUAGGGUGCGAGCGUUAAUCGGAAUUACUGGGCGUAAAGCGUGCGCAGGCGGUUCGUUGUGUCGGCGGUGAAAGCCCCGGGCUUAACCUGGGAAUGGCCGUUGAAACUGACGAACUGGAGUGUGGCAGAGGGGGGUGGAAUUCCGCGUGUAGCAGUGAAAUGCGUAGAGAUGCGGAGGAACACCGAUGGCGAAGGCAGCCCCCUGGGCUGACACUGACGCUCAGGCACGAAAGCGUGGGGAGCAAACAGG